GGGUGCUUGGUCCAGUGGUAAGACGCUCCGCAUUCAGUGCGAGAAACCCACGUUCGAAUCGUGGAGUGCCCA